UUGCAGGUUUUUAUUGGGUGGUUUGUAUCAAAUCUUCUCAGCUUUCAUCACCGACCCUAAAAACUUGGGUUCGUCAUCAGCAAGGUAAUUAGGUGAGCGGGUUCUGGAUUUUGACCGACGAUCUACCCAUAAAAGAAAGUGAGAAAGAGAGAAAAGUCAGCUUCUUCGUCGCUAGACUGGUCUGAGGCAGACAAAGAAUAGGGGGCCACCUAAAAACUUGGACGAUCGAGUUCAAUGUGUAGAACCACUGAAUACAUGGCUCCUGAAAUUCUGCUGUCUAAAGGCCAGAAAAAC